ensembl:lncRNA
CCUCACUGCAUGUCAGCUGCGUGUCAGGUUCCAUUUGUCUUUGUAACAGAGUAUCGAACAGGAGCGAGGAAAUAAAUAAACACAGAGAGACAACCGACCGAAGAUUGCAGGCACACGGAUGGGCUGGAGGAGGUGAGCCCCACGCCACAGACACUAAAAUACAUCUCAAUUUCGCACGCAGCAUGGUCGCUCUGUGCCCACGGUCAUGUUCUUCUCCCCUCGCUGCCCCGCUACCCCCAGCACCUCUGGGUAGGAUGGGAGCACCAUUGUGCACGCUGUCCCUCCUAAUCCCACAAGCAUGACUCAGACAACGCUCUGCCAUUGAUGGGAGAGGAGUAAAUCAACCAAGAUGCUGCGCUUAGGAGCAAGACUAGUAAAACCAAAGCCAGCUUCUGGCUAAAAGACUUCAUUACAGACGACCCCACUCCAUGAGCCCCGUACCUGCUCCAUGCUAAGUGCCCUGGGCUCCCCAGCCAAGUCGGCGUUAGAGGCAGGAAAUUAACGACCCGGCGAGCACGAGCGAGAGAAGCGACUUCAUCUCCAGCUGCGGAAGGAGGGGACUCUCCCAGGGACGGAUCCCUCCGCCCCAGCCCUCGGCCUGCACCGCCCGGUAUCUCGUGCCUCCGGACUAGCGGCCCCCCGAGUCCUUUUAAAAGGGACCAUUAAAUAAGAGUCCCUCCCGAAAGCAGGAGCAGAAGUGGGCAGCUCGGUCAUCCAGGAGUUUCGACCCACCUCGCUGGCCCCCAGCCCAGCCCAGCCCAGCCCAGCCAGCGGACUCCAGGAACAUCCCGCCCACACUCCCCAAUGGAGUAAUCCCGCCGACUCCAAACCCAGCCAUAGUGGUUGUCCAGAUUGGCCAAUCGGACCACCUUCAACAUUUCCACCCAGGUGAAAAUCCCCAGGUACUGGAGAGCAGAAGAAAGGCAACAGUAAUCAGCUGUAGGCUUCAGAAAAGUCAAGGCAGGAGGGCACAGCCCAUGGAAAUGGCAAGCAAAAACUUCGAAGGCUCAGAACCAGCAGUCCAGCACCCAGGGGAGUCUUCCAGAGGAAACUGACGCUCACCAAGAGGAAAUGUAAAGAGACAGCUUUGCCAUUCCUCAGCCAAGACCCCAGUCAGUCUCUCCAGAGGGAAGCCCCAGCACAAGCCCACCCAGCCCCAAGCUGCCUCCCUCGAGCUCAUUUGAGCCCUUCAGACAACCCUGAAGAGAAAACCCAACAAGACAACCACCAGGGUAGGGGCAGGUGAGGGGGGAUCUUUGAAGAAACAGACUUAGGCAAGGAGGAGAAAAUAUCAGAAAUAGCCGUAUUUAAUAUCCUCGAAGAGAUCAGAGGAGAUAUUGCAUCCCAGAACCAAGAGCAGGAUGCUAUUUUAAGGAGAACAUUUAGAGAACAAAAAGGGCUGGGAAAUUAAAAGCAUGAGAGCCGAAACAAAAAAAAAAAAAACUCAACAGACUGGUUGGAAGAUAAAAGUAAGCGAAUGUCCCAGAAGGCACAGCAAAAAGACAAAGAGGAAAAAAGAAAGAAAGGAGGAAAAAUUAGAUGCCACAUUCAAACUACACAAAAGAAUUCUGGGGCGGCGGGCUGGGGGUGAAUGAGAAUCACAAACUAUUUAAUUCAAGAAAUGUUCCCAGAAAUGAGAAUGAGUUUUCAAAUUCUACACACAAUGGAUGGAAAUUGACCCACAUCAAGGCAUAUUAUAAUAGAAAAUAGAGAAAGUUCCCUCAGGUUUCCAAGCACUAUGAAAAAGAGCAAGGGUGAGAGUGACUCCUGAAUUUUCAACAGCAACAGCAGGGCAAGCUAACAAACAACACAGUAUGCCUUCAAAACGCCAACAGAUAGUGAUUUCUGGCCUAGAAUCUUUUACUUAAUCAAAACGACAAUAAAAUGUGAAUUAAAAUAAAGACGUUUGAAUAGGCAAAGUGUCAAAAAUAUUAUUUCCUGUGUGCCAUCUUCCAGCUACUGCAGGAUGUGCUCCAACAAAACAAAGAAGGAGAACAUGAAAGAGGGCAACAAGGGAGAGAGAAAACAGGGGCUCCACUAAGAAAACAAGAGGGACAGGUGCACAGGACAGUGAGAAGAGAUGACAAGAGGGCAGAUGUGCACUAGGCAAGAAGCCAUCGUCUAAAUGAGAGCAGGGAAACCAGACAAGCCAACUGUCCAGGGCACAGACACAUCGAGGGCUGUCGUCAGUGAAAUGCUUUUGACACCGUAAAAACCUGGCCUAGAAUCUUCUCUGUACUCAGAGGCCAGGCUGAGAUGGAGUUCCCCCUCCUCUCUCUCUGCAGCACAACUGAUAUAGGCUGGACACAUUUCAGCCCUCAGAGGUCUCCUACCUUGACCCACUCUUAGAAAUGGGAAGGAGGUCACCGUGAGCUAGGAAACAGAAAGGCAGAUCAGCUGCUUACCCCACCCAGCACCCAGCCAGGCACCCCAGCUGGCGUCUCCUUUCCCCAGGACCCCUUAUGCCCUGCUUACUCUCGAAAAGGGUCUCUUGAAAAUUGCUGGGCAACUGAGGUCCAAGACCUUUCCCUUUGUCUCCUCCCAGGCCCCUCCCUCUAGGAACAGCAGCCCAAAGGCACCUUGGGCAGAGAGGACACCGAAGGUCAGCUUCUGUCUCCAUCACCAUGCACAUCCACUCUGGAAGUUAAUGACAGCACAAAAAUAGGGUAAAAUGUUUGAGGAAAACAGGGUAUGAGGGGGCUUCUUUCCCAUCACCAGCUUUUAACGUUAGGCCCACAGAUAAGCAAUACCACAGGCUGCUGCGGAGAUUAUGUUACAUCUGGUACCAGGUUGCCCAAGUGGUCUAAUUUUAUUUUAUUUCAUUUUAUUUUAUUUAUUUUUGUGGUUCUGG